GAGGAAUUUUCCGCAAUGGGCGCAAGCCUGACGGAGCGACGCCGCGUGAGGGAUGAAGGCUUUCGGGUCGUAAACCUCUUUUACAAGGGAAAAAGGCGCAAGCUUGAUGGUACUUUGUGAAUAAGCCCCGGCUAACUACGUGCCAGCAGCCGCGGUAAUACGUAGGGGGCGAGCGUUGUCCGGAAUUACUGGGCGUAAAGGGCGUGUAGGCGGUUGGAAAAGUCUGGCGUGAAAUAUCUCGGCUUAACCGGGAUGCUGCACUGGAAACUUUCUGACUGGAGUAUGGGAGGGGUAACUGGAAUCCCCGGUGUAACGGUGAAAUGUGUAGAUAUCGGGGGGAACACCUGUGGCGAAGGCGGGUUACUGGACCAUUACUGACGCUGAUACGCGAAAGCGUGGGGAGCAAAC
rnacentral:rRNA from 1 species